rnacentral:rRNA from 1 species
AGAGUUUGAUCAUGGCUCAGGACGAACGCUGGCGGCGUGCUUAACACAUGCAAGUCGAGCGGUAAGGCCCUUCGGGGUACACGAGCGGCGAACGGGUGAGUAACACGUGGGUAAUCUGCCCUGCACUCUGGGAUAAGCCCGGGAAACUGGGUCUAAUACCGGAUAUGACCGGGUCACGCAUGUGGCUUGGUGGAAAGUUCCGGCGGUGCAGGAUGAGCCCGCGGCCUAUCAGCUUGUUGGUGGGGUGAUGGCCUACCAAGGCGACGACGGGUAGCCGGCCUGAGAGGGCGACCGGUCACACUGGGACUGAGAUACGGCCCAGACUCCUACGGGAGGCAGCAGCAAGGAAUUUUCCACAAUGGGCGCAAGCCUGAUGGAGCAACGCCGCGUGCAGGACGACGGCCUUCGGGUUGUAAACUGCUUUUUGGGGGGAAGACACUGACGGUACCCCCAGAAUAAGCCUCGGCUAACUCUGUGCCAGCAGCCGCGGUAAGACAGAGGAGGCAAGCGUUGUCCGGACUUACUGGGCGUAAAGCGUCCGCAGGUGGUCGUGCAAGUGUGGUGUGAAAGCGCUCGGCUUAACUGAGCGAGGCCAUCGCAGACUGCUCGACUCGAGGUCGGGAGAGGCCGGUGGAAUUGCCGGUGUAGUGGUGAAAUGCGUAGAGAUCGGCAGGAACACCCAAGGGGAAGCCAGCCGGCUGGUCCGCACCUGACACUCAGGGACGACAGCGUGGGGAGCGAACCGGAUUAGAUACCCUGGUAGUCC